UACGGAGGGGGCUAGCGUUGUUCGGAAUUACUGGGCGUAAAGCGCACGUAGGCGGCUUUGUAAGUUAGAGGUGAAAGCCCGGGGCUCAACCCCGGAAUUGCCUUUAAGACUGCAUCGCUGGAAUCCAGGAGAGGUGAGUGGAAUUCCGAGUGUAGAGGUGAAAUUCGUAGAUAUUCGGAAGAACACCAGUGGCGAAGGCGGCUCACUGGACUGGUAUUGACGCUGAGGGGCGAAAGCGUGGGGAGCAAACAGG
rnacentral:rRNA from 1 species